AUUUCCCAAAAAAUGAGGAAAUGUAUGUAAAAAUUAAGAAAUAAGUAUCUGACAUAUUCUUUCUCUCAUUUGUGGUAUUUGUUAAAUAAAUGUUUUGUGAUUCUCACUGAUGCAAAACAGGAGAAAUUUGGUCUGAUUUCACUUCAGUGAAAAAAAAAAGUAUUUUUAUUUGGUGUAUGUAAACUUCUGCUUUCAACUGUAGCUGAGUUUGAAGCCGCGUCGUAAUGAAACCAUUUCGUAAAUUCUUGUCGAUUCUACACACACUUAAAACGCGUAAAUUGAAUUUCAGAGCAAAAAUCUAAUUAGGGAAACGUUUUUUUUUUUUGUUUUUUUUAUUCAACAGCACAAUAAAUGAAUGUAUAGUUUCUUAACAGACAUGGUCAUAUGAGGAUGCAUGAAACAAGUAAUCCGAAGAAGCUCUAUGGGUUCUAGACGAGUGAGUAUAGAAGAAACCCAAAAACUGGUCUGCUUUAAAACAUGCAAUGUAUGGUUCUUCAAAAAUCAUUUUGUGCUUACAGAGUUCCACUUCAGGGGCGGGAGACGAGGAUGGUACAUGAGAACUUGUCCUUUAGUCACUCCGUCCUCACCACUAAUGGAGGAAGGCAGCUGGACUUGGUAGGAGACUGGGUUAGGUAACGCACCGCUGCCUUUUUUUUUUUUUGUUUGUUUCUUUUCAUUUACCGAUUACAUACAUGAGUUUGUCUACAUUUCAAAAAUACAAAAAUAUAUAUUACCUCUGUAGUUAUUCAAGGAAAGCAUUUGCACAUGUAAUAGCAUCUUGUUAUCUUCAUUCGGACUGUACCUCACACGAGUAACAAGAUCGUUUCUGUACAUGAAAUUCAAGUAAACGACGUCAGACGAGAAAGGAGAGGGAGGCGUUCAUGUCUGAGGAGUUCAUGCGUGACAACGUGGAGAUGACAGGAGAUAGUCGUUUAGAGGGGGAGGGGCUUCGGGAUCGUGCUUCGCCAUGAUGGGGUUUGGCUUCCUGAGCAGCAGAAAAGGCCAAGGGGACUUCAUGUUGGAGACGAGGAGCUUCCUAAACGCGUGGAGAUCGACUGAUCCACCGGGGAAAAGGAAAGGAAAGGUUUGCAAGUAAGACAUGGGCUGGUGUCAGGCUGUCAUGGUAAUGAUUGGAUAGAGCACUCAGGCAAAAAUGUGGUUUUCCGAGUAAACAUGGUCCUACUUAUAAAGGCAUUCAAAGGAAUUUAAAACUGCCUUAUCAGACUUUUAUUAAACAUUUUUCUUAAAAAUGUUGUAUUGUCCUGACAGUAUGACAUUAAUGUGGAAUAAACCUGUGCUCAUCUGCAGAAAUAACCUGGUCAGAAACAACCAACCAGAGUCAGGAGGAGGAUCUUAGUGAUGUCAAUCAUCAUCAUGUACACGCUGCUCACACCCUUCCCCCUUGCUCGCUGCUACGCUACAGCUAGUUAGCAUAGCCACCGCUGACGGUGAAUAGUUUUCUGUAGCCGGAAAUUGUUUUUCUCGCCAUUAGCACAGCUAGCCUACAUGAGGGUGAUUGAAAGCGCCAAGGCCCUCCUUCUGGUUCCGAUUGGUCGUCUGCAUUCCUGCAGUGGAGAAGACAGAGGAGCUUGAUUUUUUUUUUUUUCAGAUCAUCUAUCUUAUAUUACACCGUUGCGACAUGUUUUUAAAACAUGCUGCAGAUUUAACGUUUUAACAUUUCUGUAACUUUUUUAGGAGCAGCACCUAAUUCCACCCAUGCCUACUUGAAAACUUCAGAGAAUGUCACCUUUCUUUCUAAAUCGGAAGAUGAAGAAACAGAAUGAGGCAUAAUAACGCACAAGGCUUCGGCAAAGAGGAAGAGAGAAAAAAAAGGGGUGGGAUUCCAAAGCGUUUCCUCCACACAGUUCGUUCUGCUGGGAGGAAGAAGCAGUAGACUUUAGUGUUCCGGGGAAACGGUUUCGCUUCUUCUGCUCCCCCCCCCCAGAGGCGAGCCGUCUGUCCGUCCAUCACCGUCACGGUUCUGAGUAUCCUUAGGGAGUUUUCAUUCGUUUUCUAGUAUACAGUACAUGUUAGAGCCACAACUUGCAUAGUGGAACAGAACAUCAAGCUAAAGGAACAUUACACACACUUUUUUUUUUCACUCCUGUGUUUCAACGCU